rnacentral:piRNA from 1 species
UAAUAGCUGUCAGAUCAGCUCAUGAUCAUAUC